AGAAAUCGUUAAGGGCGUAUGGCGGAUGCCUAGGCUUUCAGAGGCGACGAAGGACGUGGUAAGCUGCGAAAAGCUGCGGGGAUUGGCACACACGAAUUGAUCCGCAGAUAUCCGAAUGGGGCAACCCGGCAUGUUGAAGACAUGUCACCUCGCAAGAGGAGCAAACCCGGAGAACUGAAACAUCUAAGUACCCGGAGGAAAAGAAAUCGAAGAGAUUCCGUAAGUAGUGGCGAGCGAAAGCGGAUUAGCCCAAAAGUCUUUUUAUGUUUAAUAGAAUGUUCUGGAAAGAACAGCCAUAGAGGGUGAUAGCCCCGUAUAUGAAAGGCAUAUUAAGAUGAUAAAUGAGUAGGGCGGGACACGUGAAAUCCUGUCUGAAUAUGGGGGGACCAUCCUCCAAGGCUAAAUACUCCUGAAAGACCGAUAGUGAACAAGUACUGUGAAGGAAAGGUGAAAAGCACUUCGAAUAGAAGGGUGAAAUAGAACCUGAAACCGUACGCCUACAAGCGGUCGGAGCAGCGUAAUGCUGUGACGGCGUGCCUUUUGCAUAAUGAGCCUACGAGUUAAUUUUACUAGCGAGGUUAAGGUAUUAAGUACCGGAGCCGGAGCGAAAGCGAGUCUGAAUAGGGCGCAUAGUUAGUAGGAUUAGACGCGAAACCUUGUGAUCUACCCAUGGGCAGGUUGAAGCUCUGGUAACACAGAGUGGAGGACCGAACCGGUUGACGUUGAAAAGUCUUCGGAUGACCUGUGGGUAGGGGUGAAAGGCCAAUCAAACUGGGAGAUAGCUCGUACUCUCCGAAAUGCAUUUAGGUGCAGCGUCGUAUAUAAGUUUAUUAGAGGUAGAGCUACUGAUUGGAUGCGGGGGUUUCAUCGCCUACCAAUUCCUGACAAACUCCGAAUGCUAAUAAAUGUUCUACGGCAGUGAGGGCAUGGGUGCUAAGGUCCAUGUCCGAGAGGGAAAGAACCCAGACCAACAGCUAAGGUCCCAAAAUAUAUGUUAAGUUGAAGCAACGCGGUUGGACUGCAUUGACAGCUAGGAUGUUGGCUUGGAAGCAGCCAUUCAUUUAAAGAGUGCGUAACAGCUCACUAGUCGAGCGGUCCGGCAUGGAUAAUAAUCGGGCAUAAACAUAUUACCGAAGCUAUGGAUUUAUAUUUUAGAUAUAUCUGGUAGGAGAGCAUUCUAUUUGCGCCGAAGCAGUACUGUGAGGUAUUGUGGAGCGGAUAGAAAAGAAAAUGUAGGCAUAAGUAACGAUAAAGCAGGCGAGAAACCUGCUCACCGAAAGACCAAGGCUUCCUCAGCCAUGCUAAUCAGCUGAGGGUUAGUCGGGACCUAACGCGAACCCGAAAGGGGUAGUGGAUGGACAAUGGGUUAAUAUUCCCAUACUUGCUCACAAUAAAAGGGGACGGUUGGAUGUAGCUGCUGGAGACUGACGGAAUAGUCAAGGCCUAGCCUUCGGGCGAAGCUGCUGUAGUGUAAUCUGAUCCAAGAAAAGCCGAAGUGAAGCAACCCGUACCAAAACCGACACAGGUGGUCGAGGAGAGAAUCCUAAGGUGCUCGAGUGAGUCGUGGCUAAGGAACUAGGCAAAAUAGUCUCGUAACUUCGGAAGAAGAGACGCCAACAGCAAUGUUGGCCGCAGUGAAGAGGCCCAGGCGACUGUUUAUCAAAAACACAGGACUCUGCUAAAUCGAAAGAUGCUGUAUAGGGUCUGACACCUGCCCGGUGCUGGAAGGUUAAGGAAGGUGCUUAGCGUAAGCGAAGGCAUUAACUGAAGCCCCAGUAAACGGCGGCCGUAACUAUAACNNNGUAAACGGCGGCCGUAACUAUAACGGUCCUAAGGUAGCGAAAUUCCUUGUCGGGUAAGUUCCGACCUGCACGAAUGGUGUAACGAUCUGGGCACUGUCUCAGCCACGAGCUCGGUGAAAUUGUAGUAUCGGUGAAGAUGCCGAUUACCCGCAAUGGGACGAAAAGACCCUGUGAACCUUUACUAUAACUUCGUAUUGACUUUGAGUAAGUAAUGUGUAGGAUAGGUGGGAGGCUUUGAAGCAGGCACGCUAGUGUUUGUGGAGCCGACGUUGAAAUACCACCCUUUACUUACUUGGAGCCUAACUUCUUUCAGAAGGACAUUGCGUGGUGGGUAGUUUGACUGGGGUGGUCGCCUCCAAAAGAGUAACGGAGGCUUUCAAAGGUACCCUCAGCACGCUUGGUAACCGUGCGUAGAGUGUAAUGGCAUAAGGGUGCUUGACUGUGAGACCUACAAGUCGAUCAGGUGCGAAAGCAGGACAUAGUGAUCCGGUGGUUCCGUAUGGAAGGGCCAUCGCUCAUAGGAUAAAAGGUACUCCGGGGAUAACAGGCUAGUCUCCCCCAAGAGCUCACAUCGACGGGGAGGUUCGGCACCUCGAUGUCGGCUCGUCACAUCCUGGGGCUGGAGAAGGUCCCAAGGGUUGGGCUGUUCGCCCAUUAAAGUGGCACGCGAGCUGGGUUCAGAACGUCGUGAGACAGUUCGGUCUCUAUCUAUUGCGGGCGUUAGAUGUUUGAGAGGGCUUGAUUCUAGUACGAGAGGACCGAAUUGAACAAACCUCUGGUGUAUCAGUUGUACCGCCAGGUGCACCGCUGAGUAGCUACGUUUGGAAGAGAUAAGCACUGAAAGCAUAUAAGUGCGAAACUCGCCUCAAGAUGAGACAUCUUUUAAGGGUCGUUGUAGAUGACGACGUUGAUAGGCUAUAGGUGUAAAGACAGUAAUGUCAUAGCCAAGUAGUACUAAUUACCCGUAGAUUUAUAGUCU
rnacentral:rRNA from 1 species